CCUACGGGGAGCAGCAGUGAGGAAUAUUGGUCAAUGGACGAGAGUCUGAACCAGCCAAGUAGCGUGAAGGAUGACUGCCCUAUGGGUUGUAAACUUCUUUUAUAUGGGAAUAAAACGUUCCACGUGUGGGAUUUUGUAUGUACCAUAUGAAUAAGGAUCGGCUAACUCCGUGCCAGCCGCCGCGGUAAUACGGAGGAUCCGAGCGUUAUCCGGAUUUAUUGGGUUUAACGGGAGCGUAGGUGGAUUGUUAAGUCAGUUGUGAACGUUUGCGGCUCAACCGUAAAAUUGCAGUUGAAACUGGCAGUCUUGAGUACAGUAGAGGUGGGCGGAAUGCGGGGUGUAGCGGUGAAAUGCUUAGAUAUCACGAAGAACUCCGAUUGCGAAGGCAGUUCACUGGACUGCAACUGACACUGAGGCUCGAAAGUGUGGGUAUCAAACAGGAUUAGAUACCCUAGUAGUC
rnacentral:rRNA from 1 species